rnacentral:rRNA from 1 species
AUUGAACACUGGCGGCAUGCCUAACACAUGCAAGUCGAACGGUAACAGGCCCUUCGGGGUGCUGACGAGUGGCAGACGGGUGAGCAAUGCGUAGGAAUCUGCCCUGUAGUGGGGGAUAGCUCGGCGAAAGCCGAAUUAAUACCGCAUACGAUCUACGGAUGAAAGCGGGGGACCGCAAGGCCUCGCGCUAUAGGAUGAGCCUACGUCUGAUUAGCUAGUUGGUAGGGUAAUGGCCUACCAAGGCGACGAUCAGUAGCUGGUCUGAGAGGAUGAUCAGCCACACCGGGAACUGAGACACGGUCCGGACUCCUACGGGAGGCACAUGGGGAAUNUUGGACAAUGGGGGAAACCCUGAUCCAGCAAUGCCGCGUGUGUGAAGAAGGCCUGCGGGUUGUAAAGCACUUUUGUUGGGGAAGAAAAGCCAUCGGAUAAUACCUGGUGGUCUUGACGGUACCCCAAAAGGAAUGAGCACCGGCUAACUCCGUGCCAGCAGCCGCGGUAAUACGGAGGGUGCGAGCGUUAAUCGGAAUUACUGGGCGUAAAGCGCGCGUAGGCGGUUUGAUAAGUCGGGUGUGAAAGCCCCGGGCUUAACCUGGGAAUUGCAUUCGAUACUGUCAGACUCGAGUCUAGGAGA